rnacentral:rRNA from 1 species
GACGAACGCUGGCGGCGUGCCUAAUACAUGCAAGUAGAACGCAGAUGCGAACGGGGGAGUAACGCGUAGGUAAAUGCCUCAUAGCGGGGGAGAACUAGAGGAAACGAUAGCUAAAACCGCAUACUGUGAGAUGGACCUGAGUUGUAUUAGCUAGUGGGUGAGGUAAAGGCUCACCAAGGCGACGAUACAUAGCCGACCUGAGAGGGUGUACGGCCACCCUGGGACUGGUACACGGCCCAGACUCCUACGGGAGGCAGCCGUAGGGAAUCUUCGGCAAUGGACGGGAGUCUUGCCGAGCAACGCCGCGUGAGUGAAGGAGGUUUUCGGAUCGUAAAGCUCUGUUGUUAGAGAAGCGUUAACUAACCAGAAAGGGACGGCUAACUACGUGCCAGCCGCCGCGGUAAUAC